rnacentral:misc_RNA from 1 species
GAAAUGCGAUACGUAGUGUGAAUUGCAGAAUUCCGCGAAUCAUCGAGUCUUUGAACGCAAGUUGCGCCCGAGGCUUGUCCAAGGGCAUUUCCGCUAGAGCGUCACCGCGCCCCCCCACCGCUCCACUCCCGCCGGGAGUCGGGACGAGUGAAAGUGGCCGUCCCGGUGGGCCUUCGUCACGGAAGGCCUUAAGGGUUGGCUGAAAUGGAGGGAAUCGGGCCGCCGUGGUGACACAGUCCGCGAUCGGGUGAUCCGAGCUCCUCCGGGAGUCCGGAGUUUUUCUAAGUGCGUGGCUGAGUCCCCCAGUUGGUCGUGGUUACCCCAUGCAGGUCGAGCGCGCCCCCGCGGCGCGCGUCACGCAUCAGACCUCUAAUCGGAAAAGACUACCCGCUGAGUUUAA